rnacentral:snRNA from 10 species
GGAUGUGAGGGCCAUCUGGCUGCAACACCUGUCACCCCAUUGAUCGGCAGAGUUGAUUCCGCUGAUCUGGCUGGCUACGCAGGUGUCCCCUUCCUCCUUCACUGCUCCAUGUGCGUCCCUCCUGAACCAGCAGCUGGGUCAAAGAGGACGACCAUCCCGUAGAGGAGGGCCGUCCCUCAGUCAAGGGCAUACGAGUAGCUGCCCUCCCCUGCUAGAACCUCCAGACAAGCUCUCAAGUUCUCAGACACCUUUGCAAUUGGAAAGACUAAUUCUAAAAGAAAGGAAAUGUUUCCAUCUCU